ACGCUCGACACCUACGGAGCAGCAGUCGGGAAUAUUGCGCAAUGGAGGAAACUCUGACGCAGUGACGCCGCGUGCAGGAAGAAGGUUUUCGGAUUGUAAACUGCUUUAGACAGGGAAGAACAAAUGACAGUACCUGUAGAAUAAGCUCCGGCUAACUACGUGCCAGCACGCCGGACGGUAAUCUGACGGCGGGCGUGGACGAACGGC
rnacentral:rRNA from 1 species